rnacentral:misc_RNA from 1 species
CACUUCCACCCAAACAUAGCCAAUCAGAUUGAUCGGCUGAUUUGAGAAUGCAUGAUUAUACAAGUCCGAAAAGAAAAAAAAUAAGGGGCAUAGGUGGUGGGGAUCGAAAGUGAAAGAAAGAAGAAUCUCAAAUCUCCUCCUGAACACGACACUCUUGACUCUGAGGAAUUUUACCCCAAAAAAAAAAAAUUCCCACAAACCGUCAUAUCUUUAGCUCUCUCUCCAAAUUGUUGUAGAAAAUUUGAAUUUGAAACUUAGGUGAGAGAGACGAGACAAAUUUGAUCCAUAUAUAUGCUGCAUUUGCAUUUUGAAGCAUAGAGAAGAGAAGCCCAGAAAACGAACCCACCAAAUUGAAUUCGAUGAUUUUGUUGCAGCCUCAUUCCAGAUUUCUCCUUCAAACCUUGUUGAAUCGGGUUCAGAAUCUCGAGAAGGCAGUUGAGCUUGAUUACCACUGGGUUGAGUUCGAUGAUGUUCGCUACCAUGUUCAGGUGUCGAUGAAGAACCCAAAUGUCCUGCUAUUAUCUGUCUCAUUACCCAUCCCUCCUCCGGAGACCGUUUUCUUGGGUGGACUUCCUUUUGGAGCCAUAGAAGCUAUAAAGGCUUCUUAUGGUGUGAUUGUGCAGAUUCUUGAUCCCCCAAGGGAUGGCUUUAAUCUCACUUUGAAACUCAAUUUGUCAAAACUUCCUCCAGAUGAAGAGUUCAGGCAUUCUCUUUUGGUAAAGAUUGCAUCUGUUAGGGAAGUAGUUCUAGGUGCCCCUUUAAGAUUAGUUCUAAAGCAUCUUGCUACAAGGACUGUUGCUCCUGAUAUGGAUCAGCUUCUUGCCCUUGUGCAUCGGCCAAAUGAGUCUUUUUUCCUUGUUCCACAGGCAGAAAAGGUUACUGUCGUAUACCCUAUGAGAUUCAAGGACUCUAUAGAUACUUCGCUUGCAACUUCCUUCCUUCAGGAAUUUGUGGAAGCAAGGCGUACAGCUGCACUUAAUAAUGCUCCUCCUUGUUUGUGGUCUCCUACUCCCCCUCAAGAAUUGAAGGAAGCUCCUGCUUAUGCACUCUCUGCAAAUGCAGGAUUUGUAUCUUUUGUCAUUUUUCCUCGCCAUGUAGAAGGCAAAAAGUUGGACCGUACAGUAUGGAAUUUAUCGACAUUUCAUGCAUAUGUUAAUUAUCAUGUUAAGUGCUCAGAAGGUUUCAUGCACACUCGCAUGCGACGUCGUGUGGAGUCUUUGAUUCAGGC